GCUGGAAUUACAGGCAUGAGCCACUGCACCUGGCUGGCCUUUUUUUUUUUUUUUUCCAACUUUCUAUCUCUUUCAAAGUUAACUGGUUACCUUUCGCCUCCUCCGCUCCGCAGGCUAUGCAGUAGCCCAUUUCUCUGAUAUGUAAUACCUGAGGGCAGUAACUGUUAGACCCUCCAGUCCACGGCAAAAUGUGAGAUGAACACAUGCUAUUUCUUGGGUAAAUGGGGAGAGAUGAAUGCUUGAAAUAAUGAACUCUCUCUGGACAAUUUAGCAUCAUUUCCUUCUUAACCUGGUGUUCAUGUACCCAUUUUAAAGUGACGACUAAAGGUAUUGAUGGGGAUGGGGAGAGGUGGAAGCAGGAUUCUCAGAACGGUUUCCAGCAUAGCAGUGAUGAUGAGCAGGACUGAGAUGGAGCAGGUACUAGAUGAAAAACUGAAACCAAAACCCAAAGAAAGCAAGAAAUUGAAUUUGACAUACCUGGGUGAAGGAAGAUGGGUGUACUGGGUUGAAUAAAUAUCCCUUGUAAGUUCACAUCUACCUGAAAUCUUAGAAUGUGACCUUACGUGGAAAUAGGGUCUUUGCAGAUAUAAUUACGAGAUUAGGGUGGGCCCUAAAUCCAAUGACGGGUGUUCUUGUAAGAGGAACGGAGGAUACACAGAAAAACAGACCAUGUCUUCCAUGCUGCCCUGGAUGGAGGGGCCCAUCAAGCACUCAGGGCAGCCUCAGCAUGAUGGGAAGCCAUGGGCCAAGCCAUCCCUGCAAUGUGCAGGAGGGAGAAAUCACAUCAGAUGGGAUCGCUUGAAUGUUCACGUUUUUAUGAAGAAGGAAUCUGGUUAGAAUGAUCAUCAGGAAUAGAAGAGGUCUGUGCAGGGAGAAGGGUGAUGGGGAGUGUACUGUGGUGCUUUUGUGGAAAAGUGGAUGGGAUGUGGGUUUGCUUUGAUGUAAGUGAAAAGAGAAGAGAAGGAAAGGAAGUGUGAAAUGACCCAGUUGGUUUUUGCAAUGAAUGAUGUGUAAGAAAAUGGCCUUUUUUUUUUUUUUUUCUGGGUCACCAGGCAGCUCUGACCAUCUGUCAGAUGGCAUCACUUCAGGCAGAGGGUGGGGUAAGAGAGAGCUUGGCCUUUGGAGGAUUUCCUUAGGCGCCACUCCAGCACCUUCUUUCUCCUCCUCAGCGUCGGAGAUGGUGAGGGAUAAUGGGAUGCACGCUGGGAGCCUUCCCUGGAUCCCCAUAUGGUCAGCGCUCUGUCUGAGCAAGUCUGUCCCCUUCUUGGAUUCUUGGUCUUCUCCCUUUUACAGGAGGCUUACAAAGUUUAUGUGAGCAUUGAGGAAAAAUAUUUUGUAAACCUCCAAAUGCUGUCUAAUAUUGUAUCCUAUAGUUCUCCAAGGACUGAGAAGGAAGAUAGAUGGAGUCUUAAUCUUUUGGGGUUUGAGGGAAGCUCGCAUACUGUGUGAAAAGUAAUGAAGGUUUCAGUUUGAGAUGAUGAGGUUCUAGAGAUGGCUGGUGGUGAUGGUUGCACAACAAUGUGAAAAUGUGAAUGGACUGAAUGCCACUGAACUGUACACUUAAAAAUGGAUUAAAUGGUCAAUUGUAUAUGCUCUCUGUUUUACCAUGACAGAAAAGUCACACCUCUAUCCCUCCCCCAAAAAAGUAAUGUACAUACAGGACAAAGCUGAUAUGUGAGUAAAUUUGCCACUCCAGCUAUUACAGAGCAAUUAUUAACAUUUUGUGGUGAAUGCUUGUAUUUGCAAUCACUGUAAGGAAUUAGGACCGGUUACCAGGACCCAACACAAUAUAUUGUUGUUAGUGCUUUUGGAUGGCUCUAGAAAUUCUUUUGGGAGGGAGUAAAUUAUGUCACAAUAAUUGAAACAGAAAUGAACUAUAAGCUGAACUUAAUAACAUGAUCUGAGAUCACUUCUCCCCCUCUACCCCUGCCUUCAAGGUUGUUCUCCUACCAUAGCACUACUUUUUCUUUGUUUCCCAAUUUACUCCUUAUCCCGGUAGGUCAAGGUGAAAACAGAUUUGCAUCUAUAAUACAGAAACAUGUGAAUCUCCUGUGGCCUCCUGUAUGUUACUAAAAAUGUCUCAUGUUAUUAUGGACCCUGGUCCUGUGGGCCAGACUUUGCUCCCAGAAAGAAGCAAGAACUAUUUGCACAUCUCCCAGAUCAUUCCUUCCCCAGGCCUGUGGGCAUCCACAUCAAAGCCUUACAGGAUCACCCCCAGUUUUUUCCUUUCUUAAGCUCCAAGGUGCUUUUGAAGAUCAGAACCAUAAGUAUGAAUACUGCUUGAGGGUAUCUGCAUUUCUGAGGAGUCUCCCAUAGGCUGAAGGCCCAGAAAGUAACUCGGAAAGGGGUUGAAAGAUAGAUGCCUUUUGGAUUGAGAAAUUGUUUUACUUCAUCACAAAAUAAACUACUUAUGGUUUGGGAUUUAAAUACUGGGACAUGUAUUGUACCUCCUCUAAAUCAUCCCAGAAAAUGAAGCAGAAGAACAGUGUUCAAUGUAGAACUGCCCAUGGUGCCAGAUGAUUUUGAGUCACAUACAGAGGCAGGCACAGCUCUCAAAUGUUAUGGCUACUUGUGUUUCCGACAGGCAGCCAGUUUCCUAAGAGGGGGUUGGGGGCAGGAAAAAUUCAGUGCCUUCAUUGUGGGCUGCUUCUUGUUGAAUUUUGCUCCACAGGUUAGAAGACAGGUCCCAGUCUUCCUAAUGAGGCAUUGAAAGUCUAGGUGGAAUAGAUGCUUGCUGGAGCCUGUGGAGAUUAUAAAAGAGCUCACUGCCUUAACGUGGUCAGGAGAGGCAGGAGUGAGAGCCAGUGUGAAGGUGUGGGAGUUGGAAGGAACUUGGAACUCAACUUCUUUUGGCCCCUCAACUUGAGAUUCACAAAGAAAAAAAGCAAUGUCUCCUCGCUGAAAGCAAAAUGGAAACUCCUCCUUGCACAGUGCAGCCCCUUCCUCGCUAUAGGUUAUUUCAAGUGAGAAGAAUAAACAUGACUUCCAAAUGCCAUCUAACAAUAUAUGAAUAUCUAAAGGAGACAAGGAUGACUGAAUGCAUCUUCAUGUGUAGGAAGUGAAGUGGCUGUUGACAUUAAGUACUUCUUCAUGAGUGAGAGGAGGCCCGUGAUGGAGAUGACACCAGUACCUCCUUCUAGCACUCUGAAUUCCCAGUGUUUACUACUGGUGUCUCUGAAACUACAGCAUCCUCACCAGGACCACACAGGGAACAAAGGCAAGACACCUGAAAUCCCUUUAGCCGUAUUCACAACACUUACUUCAUAGAUAGGAUGAUGUUUGAAAUAUGAGAAGGAUUUUUUUAAAAAGAGCACUCUGUUCUCUUGGUAUCCUAGUAUGAGUGUCUGAAAGUGCUCAUUGGCUGGAAGGUUUCAUGUGAGCAUCAGCCGCAGGGUCCAGAAGACACUCUUGGCAAGCCUGGAGAGUGAGGAUGUUGAACAGGCAGUGGAAGCAUCCAUGAAAAGCAGGCAGCUGCACAAGACUUUCCAACAGAUGGCUGGUCACUUGCACAGAGGGAAGGAGCCAUGGAUUCCGUGAUAAUGACACUUGUGCCAGCUUUUGUGUUUCCAGAAGUAUUGAAGAUAUAAGGGAACCAACACGUGUAGAGUAUGUGAAGUCUUACAGAGACGAGGUCCUAAGGUAUCUAUUUUGACAAAUCACGUUGCAAGUAAUGUGAAAGCAGUUUGAAGAAAAAAUGUCCCCAUCUAAUGCUGCAUUAGGGCAUGCAUUUCUAUAGCCUAAAUCUGUCAGUGACAUGAAAAUACAUGUUUUGUUGGACACAGAAUAGGUUGAACACAUAAUAGGUUCUAGAAUGGAUCUGCAUAAAGAAGUAAGAAGAAAGGAUAUAAAGGUAGAAGAAUAAAUGUAUAAAUAUUACAACAGGACACUGAGCUGGGUGGCUCUUUACCAUAGACCUCGCUCGUAUUUCUCACUACAGGCUUGCUGUGAGUCAAUUUCCAAGUUCUCUCUUUCUCCUUCCAAACUGCCCUGUAUGUAAUCUUGCUCCUGGGCCACCUGACUGAUUUUUAAUGCCUGGAUAUUUGCUUCCACCUCUGCAUGACCAAACCUUGGCCAAGUCACUGUUGACUCAGUUGCAACAUCUGUCCCCUGCUGAGGGCUGUCAUAGCUUUCAUAGCUUACAAACAGUCCAGCUUGAAUCCAACAUUUUCUGUGGUCAUUUGGAGUAGCAAGAAGCAUUGUGUUUUGGAUUUACUGCAGAGAUCACACGCUUAACUGUAUACAGUCAGUUUUUAUAGCUAUCACUGCAUCCAGGUUGGACAGUGACCUUGACUGAGACAUCCUUUACCUCUGUUUCAGAUCAAUUUAGGCGGCAUAUAAAAUCUCUGUGCACUGCCAGGGGAAAGUAAAGUGGAAGACUUCAUGAAGAAAUGGACAAGGCCAAAUAGUUGACCAUUGUUGCUGUAUAAAUCUUGGAUCCAGGGCUAAAAGGUGGCAGUAUAAAUGCAGAUGGUGCUGCUGCCAUAUUUUCCUAGCACAUCUUCAAGCAGCAUAUUUCAAGCCGUCAGGGUUGGAAUGGCAUUUCCAAAUAUAAACUCAAAAAAUCCUCAGGUGUUUGGUUCUAGAAUAGAGCUGGGAAUUUUGUCCUGCAAAUGCCUUCUGCAGCAUGGGAGCAAACCCACUCUUCUGUGUCUGAUGCUUCAAACUUUCUAUUUUCUGGAAACUGGAGAAAGAUGUGGGUCUACAUUUUGAAGUAUAUGCCUUGAACAGGAAUUAUGCACCUAUAGAAAACUUGUCAUACAUUGAGUAAACUCUCAGUUUACAGAAAUCUAUGGAAAUAUCAAAAUAAAACAUCAGAAGGAGCGGUAACUAUAGAGGUUACUAACUAAGGGGAUUACCUGAAAAAUAAAGUUAUAUUUGCCAAAAACUGUAUUUGAUUAGUUUGGACUUCUUUUUUCCUAUCCCUUUUCUGUUUUAUAUUUAUAUUUCAUUUCUUCUAAAAUUAAGUGAUCUGUCAUGAUCUAAUAUUGUAGAAAAUGUCCAAGUCUAGACAUUAGGAUGGCUUUUGUUAUUUUAGUCACAUGCAAGAAGCAGAAUGGUUUUGUGGAGAGAGCUCUAUCUUUGGAGUCCAGCUCUACCUUCGGUGCUAAACCCAGGCAUCUUUGUCCUGAUUAUAGUACCCCUCUGGCUUCUCCUUAUGUUUGUAAAAUGAGGGGGGCUCUCUGAAGUAUCCUUCUGGCUGUAAAAUCUAUUAGCUCUUAUUGCUGAAGGUUGCUUCUGUUCAGAGUUUCUAGGUUUCUUAUAAACUGAGGAGCCAGAGGUCAGGAGGAAUGGAAACUUGUUAUUCCAUUUGUAACAUUGUUCAAAGUUUUAAAUACAAACACAAGUAAUUAAUCUGUCAUCGUUGCUUGAACAUAUUAUACUUCACUGAAUGAUAAAAUACAAUCUUUAGAAAAAUUUGUUAUGAGAAAUAAAUGUUGCUGCUUAUCUAAAA